GAACUGUAAGAGAAUAACAGAAGAUCUUGCAAAGAAUCAUCAUGGCUGGUGGCUCGUCCUUGUUAACAAAGCAACUUGAUAUCACAUGGGGAAGAAACAGUGAAAAUAUAAAAAUUGUUGUAAUAUGUUCUCAUUAAGCAAUAAAAUGAUUACAACUUAUUUAUUUAUUUAUAUUGAAUAUUGUAAUUCAAAUUUAAGAUUAUUUGUAUUUAAGUUUCAUAUGAGUGUAUAUUUGAAUUUAAGUUGAAUUUGAAUAAAUAUAUAAGUCCAAAGUGAAUUGUAU
rnacentral:lncRNA from 1 species